UCCUGGGACCACAGAAUUCGUGUGCGGUCAAAGUCAAAAUCUUAACUGGUCUUUAGUAUUUAGAAUACGACUGAAGUACUGGACAGAAAGGAUCUAGUGUGCACGAUUCUCAAUAUUACAUAGAAAAAUGAGUACCUACUUUGACUUUUGUUCGCGGAUGGAUUAACGUUUAAAUAGAUGGUAAAAAAAAAAAAAUUUGAAACCGAUAUGUCUGGAUUCUGGAAUGAAGUUUUUUGUAGUAUAGACUAUAGAGAGUGUACAGUACUUAUAACACGCGACUAAGUAUUAUUACUAUAUUGGCAAACCUUCUGCAGUCGAUUCUGAAAUUCCCACCGGACGUGUUGUUGAGCAUUUCAACUGUAUUACCCCGACCUUCUCGGGGGAUAAUAUACCCACCGAUCGCAAUAUAAACCAAAUCGUUUCACAAUAAGCUGUAUUGUUGACAAGUCCAAAACGCCAAUAUAACAAUAAACACUCGUAUAUACAGUACAGAACAUUGUCUAAAACGGAGCACCGAAGAACCGAAGAAAAUGUCUAUUGACUGACAUUUCCGAAUUACAGAAGUUUAUACAAAUGCAUAUGGAAUUUAAUCUUCGAAUUUCCAUUUUACACAGAUUUUCUAACAGUUUAAAAUACUCAGUACGCUGCUCAUCUUUUUAUAUAUAUA